CACGUAGGGUGCGAGCGUUGUCCGGAAUUAUUGGGCGUAAAGAGCUCGUAGGCGGUCUGUCGCGUCUGCUGUGAAAACUCGGGGCUUAACCCCGGGCCUGCAGUGGGUACGGGCAGACUAGAGUGUGGUAGGGGAGACUGGAAUUCCUGGUGUAGCGGUGAAAUGCGCAGAUAUCAGGAGGAACACCGGUGGCGAAGGCGGGUCUCUGGGCCGAUACUGACGCUGAGGCGCGAAAGCGUGGGGAGCGAACGGGG
rnacentral:rRNA from 1 species